UACCGUUAUUUGCCAGCGAUUCGGUCGGGAACUAUAAGGGACUGCCGGUGAUAAACCGGAGGAAGGUGAGGACGACGUCAUGUCAUCAUGGCCCUUACGAGUAGGGCUACACACGUGCUACAAUGGGAGAUACAGACGGACGCUAAGCCGCGAGGUGGUGCUAAUCCUAAAAAGUCUUUCGUAGUCCGGAUUGGAGUCUGCAACUCGACUCCAUGAAGACGGAAUCGCUAGUAAUCGCGAAUCAGCAUGUCGCGGUGAAUACGUUC
rnacentral:rRNA from 1 species